UCGCCACCGCCUCCUCCAU
rnacentral:snRNA from 1 species